UACGUAGGGGGCAAGCGUUGUCCGGAAUCACUGGGCGUAAAGCGCACGUAGGCGGUUUAGCAAGUCCGGGGUGCAAGCUCCAGGCCUAACCUGGAAAUUGCCUCUGAAACUACUAAGCUUGAGGGUCAGAGGGGAAACUGGAAUUCACGGUGUAGCGGUGAAAUGCGUAGAUAUCGUGGAGAACACCCGGGGCGAAGGCGGGGUUCGGGCUGACAACUGACGCUGAGGUGCGAAAGCUAGGGGAGCGAACGGG
rnacentral:rRNA from 1 species